AUCCAGCUGACAAGUCCCAAAUAGGACGAAAUGCACAUCCUCAAU
rnacentral:hammerhead_ribozyme from 1 species